ACAGCAGUCGCCGCGGUAAUACGAGGGGUGCAAGCGUUAUUCGGAUUGAUUGGGUGUAAAGGGUGUGCAGGCGGUUUCUUAAGUCUGAUGUGAAAGCCCCCGGCUCAACCGGGGAGGGUCAUUGGAAACUGGGAAACUUGAGUGCAGAAGAGGAGAGUGGAAUUCCACGUGUAGCGGUGAAAUGCGUAGAGAUGCGGAGGGACACCAGUGGCGAAGGCGACUCUCUGGUCUGUAACUGACGCUGAGGAGCGAAAGCGUGGGGAGCGAACAGGAUUAGAUACCCCCGUAGUCCCUGUCUCUUAUAC
rnacentral:rRNA from 1 species